AGUUUGUACUCAAUUAUUUAGAUUGUUGUAGUGAUGCAAUGAUAGUUUUUUCUCCCAAUUUUUUUAGAGCAUUGUGGUUUCUGAUCAGUUCAAAUUACAUAGCAUGACAAUUUCCAAUUCCUAAGAUUAUGUGAUUCAAAAAUGUAUGUACUCACUAAAAAUCAACUACUAGUUUUCUGCAAAGUCUGUUCUAAUUACAC
rnacentral:lncRNA from 1 species